UACGGAGGGUGCAAGCGUUGUUCGGAAUCAUUGGGCGUAAAGCGCGCGCAGGCGGCCAUUUAAGUCUGAUGUGAAAGCCCGAGGCUCAACCUCGGAGGUGCAUUGGAAACUGGAUGGCUUGAGUCCAAGAGAGGUUAGUGGAAUUCGUGGUGUAGGGGUGAAAUCCGUAGAUAUCACGAGGAACACCAGUGGCGAAGGCGACUGACUGGAUUGGUACUGACGCUGAGGCGCGAAAGCGUGGGGAGCAAAC
rnacentral:rRNA from 1 species